rnacentral:tRNA from 1 species
GGAGGCGUCGCCUAGUUGGUCUAUGGCGCAGACCUGGAAAGUCUGUUGGGCGCAAGUCCUCGUGGGUUCGAAUCCCACCGCCUCCGCCA